UUUCACUUUCUAGCCUAUAUAAGUCUCCAGUCUACCUCAACGUUGUAUCUGACUCGUGAAAUAAUUAUACUACAUUGAUAUAGCCCAGGCAUAAGAAUAUAUUAUUUUCUAAAGAUAAAUCGAGCCGACAUAGGAUUAAGCAUGAAGAUGUCUUUCAUUGCUGCUGUUCUGUUGGUGUUAUCAACUCUCCUGCCAUGUGUAUCUGCAGGAUUUGAAAUGUUGGGACUUUCAUCCGCAUGGUCAAUUUUCUUAGUUGUGGUUUUUAUACUACUCGGAAUCGCUGCUAUAGUUGGAGUGUUUUGGCUUGUCUGUUAUUGCUGCUGCGAACCUUAUGGAGGUGCCAGGAGUCAAAAAAAUUUGAUGGCAAAAAAUCAGGCAUAGUUCCUCUCCAGCAAAUACAAGGCUCGCAAUAUACAUUAAAAGAAAAAAAAAACAACAACGCAAAUUGACGCAAACAAAAUGGAGACUGCAAAAGAGAAAAGAACAAAAUGGCAACUCUAAGGACACAGUAUCUAUUUCAGAAGAGGUUUUAUCUAGAAACUUGCUUGAAAAAAAAUUCUUUAUAAGAACAAAGCUUAUAUUAGGGGAAAAAACUCCGCACUAGCAACUAUUUAUCUAAAGAAUGUAGAAGUUAUUUGCCUUAUUCGAUACCAAACAAAAAAUUAAUUACCAAAAAUUAAUUGACUAAUUUGGUAAAUUUUUAAAUUGAUUCUUUUUUAGUAAGUAAAAAAAAAAUGCUUAAAAGAUCAACUUAAUCCUAGAUUAGGUGUGGGAGAAAACAAAGAAGUUAAUUAUCUAAGGAGACGAAACUCCACAUAUUUAGUCGUAUCUGUGAAUGCUGAAGGAUUAAUUUUCCUUGUUGGUAUCAAACAAAAUAAAUAACUACCAGUAAUUAAUUAACUGAUUUGUUAUUUUUUAAAAAUUACUAUUCAUUUUAUGUCUACGCCAAUAAAUAAUUGUGCUAAGUUUUAAAUUGAUCCAAGAAUGGAUAUUGGAGAAAUCACGUGUACAAACUUUUCACCAGACAGACAGACAGACAGCGUGAGCUUUGUAAAAAGUUAUAAAUAAGGACCGCGCUAGAAAAACAAGAUAGUUGAUGCUUUAGUUGCUCAGAGCAAUACCUAGGCUUUUUAAUUGCAUAUUUGGAGUAGAUUGCCAUCUACCAUCUCUAGCUCUCAGGGUUCACAUGGCCUUCACUCCCGGGAUGUUUGUUGGCGUGUUAUUGGACGCGCUAUUGUUCAUUAGUGACAUUCACAUCUAGUUGAUUGUAUUAUCACUACAACGAAUCCGGCAUAGUUUAUGUCACAGAACAAACAAAUUGCUUCGAAAUUAUUCUCAUGGAGAAACUGAUAAAAAAAUAAAUUUUUAUUUAUUUAUUUCUUCUAUUAUGGAGUGCGUGUAUGUGUGUAGAAUGAUGUAACAUAGGUUCUAUGACUGAUAUGCUAUAUUUAGAACACGGAUGUAUUGCCUUUGUUAAAAUUAAAAGGGAGGGCUGAUGGAAGAUACAAGUGUGGAGUUAGAUGUAGAGAAAAAGUUGGUGUGUAUGAAUUGAGAAUCCUUGAAAAUUUUGUGAUAACAUUAUGUACUUUGUAUAUUACUGCAAUUUACUGCAUAAUUAUUGACAAUGUAUUUGGGAAAUAAAUUUGAUACUAU